UAAAGGCUUGGUCCUGACUUUACUGUCAGCUCUGGCUAAACUUACACAUGCAAGUAUCCGCACCCCUGUGAGAAUGCCCUCCAGUCUCCCGCCCGGAAAAAAGGAGCCGGUAUCAGGCACGGUAAACACCUGCCCAUGACACCUUGCUUAGCCACACCCUCAAGGGACAUCAGCAGUGAUAGAUAUUAAGCCAUAAGUGAAAACUUGACUUAGUUAAGGCCUAGAGGGCCGGUAAAACUCGUGCCAGCCACCGCGGUUAUACGAGAGGCUCAAGUUGACAGACAACGGCGUAAAGAGUGGUUAGGGAAAUUUUAAACUAAAGCCAAACGUCCUCAAAGCUGUUUAACGCUCCCGAGUUAAGAAGAUCCAUUACGAAAGUAGCUUUACCCAUCCUGACCCCACGAAAGCUGUGACACAAACUGGGAUUAGAUACCCCACUAUGCUCAGCCAUAAAAUUUGAUAGGCCCCUACGCCCCCUAUCCGCCCGGGUACUACGAGCAUCAGCUUAAAACCCAAAGGACUUGGCGGUGCUUCACAUCCGUCUAGAGGAGCCUGUUCUAGAACCGAUAACCCCCGUUGAACCUCACCCUCCCUUGUUAAUACCGCCUAUAUACCGCCGUCGUCAGCCUACCCUGUGAAGGACUAGAAGUGAGCAAGAUUGGUAAGACCCAAAACGUCAGGUCGAGGUGUAGUGUAUGAGAGGGGAAGAAAUGGGCUACAUUUCCUAAAUCAGGAAACACGAACAAUGAACUGAAACAAGCAUUUGAAGGUGGAUUUAGCAGUAAGCAAGAAAACAGAGUGUUCUGCUGAAACAUGGCAAUAAAGCACGCACAUAUCGCCCGU
rnacentral:ncRNA from 1 species